GAUGAACGCUGGCGGCGUGCUUAACACAUGCAAGUCGAGCGAGUGAGUUCUUCGGAACAAUCUAGCGGCGGACGGGUGAGUAACACGUGGGCAACCUGCCUCAUAGAGGGGAAUAGCCUUCCGAAAGGAAGAUUAAUACCGCAUAACAUCGUUGAAGGGCAUCCUUCGAUGAUCAAAGGAGCAAUCCGCUAUGAGAUGGGCCCGCGGCGCAUUAGCUAGUUGGUGAGGUAACGGCUCACCAAGGCGACGAGGCGUAGCCGAACUGAGAGGGUGAUCGGCCACAUUGGGACUGAGACACGGCCCAGACUCCUACGGGAGGCAGCAGUGGGGAAUAUUGCACAAUGGGGGAAACCCUGAUGCAGCAACGCCGCGUGAGUGAUGACGGCCUUCGGGUUGUAAAGCUCUGUCUUUGGGGACGAUAAUGACGGUACCCAAGGAGGAAGUCACGGCUAACUACGUGCCAGCCGCCGCCGUAA
rnacentral:rRNA from 1 species